CCUACGGGGGGCAGCAGUGGGGAAUAUUGGACAAUGGGGGCAACCCUGAUCCAGCCAUGCCGCGUGUGUGAAGAAGGCCCUCGGGUUGUAAAGCACUUUCAGUGAGGAAGAACGCCUGGUGGUUAAUACCCAUCAGGAAAGACAUCACUCACAGAAGAAGCACCGGCUAACUCCGUGCCAGCAGCCGCGGUAAUACGGAGGGUGCGAGCGUUAAUCGGAAUUACUAGGCGUAAAGCGCGCGUAGGUGGCUUGAUAAGCCGGUUGUGAAAGCCCCGGGCUCAACCUGGGAACGGCAUCCGGAACUGUCAAGCUAGAGUGCAGGAGAGGAAGGUAGAAUUCCCGGUGUAGCGGUGAAAUGCGUAGAGAUCGGGAGGAAUACCAGUGGCGAAGGCGGCCUUCUGGACUGACACUGACACUGAGGUGCGAAAGCGUGGGUAGCAAACAGGAUUAGAUACCCGAGUAGUC
rnacentral:rRNA from 1 species